UACGUAGGGCGCAAGCGUUGUCCGGAAUUAUUGGGCGUAAAGAGCUCGUAGGUGGUUUGUCGCGUCUGCCGUGAAAGCCCGGGGCUUAACUCCGGGUCUGCGGUGGAUACGGGCAGACUAGAGGCAGGUAGGGGAGAACGGAAUUCCCGGUGUAGCGGUGAAAUGCGCAGAUAUCGGGAGGAACACCGGUGGCGAAGGCGGUUCUCUGGACAGUUCCUGACACUGAGGCACGAAGGCCAGGGGAGCAAACGGG
rnacentral:rRNA from 1 species